rnacentral:pre_miRNA from 1 species
AAUAAACUAAUUUUUCAUUUUUUACGUUUAAUUUUUGACUCUUCGUCUUAUUUAAAAAAAUUUUGCGAUUGAUAUUUUUGUUUUUAUUAGAUGAUAAAUCAUGAAUAGUACUUUACGUGUAACUAACUUUUUUUCUAAUUUUUUAAAAAUUUUUUAAAUAAGAUGUAUGGUCAAACGUUGGAGGAAUCGGAGAAUUCGGUUUCUU